rnacentral:rRNA from 1 species
GAUGAACGCUGGCUACAGGCUUAACACAUGCAAGUCGAGGGGAAGCGACGGGGAAGCUUGCUUCCCCGGGCGUCGACCGGCGCACGGGUGAGUAACGCGUAUCCAACCUGCCUCUGACUGAGGGAUAACCCGUCGAAAGUCGGCCUAAUACCUCAUGGCAUCGUCUGCGGGCAUCCAACGACGAUUAAAGAUUUCAUCGGUCAGAGAUGGGGAUGCGUCUGAUUAGCUUGUUGGCGGGGUAACGGCCCACCAAGGCGACGAUCAGUAGGGGUUCUGAGAGGAAGGUCCCCCACAUUGGAACUGAGACACGGUCCAAACUCCUACGGGAGGCAGCAGUGAGGAAUAUUGGUCAAUGGGCGAGAGCCUGAACCAGCCAAGUAGCGUGCAGGAUGACGGCCCUAUGGGUUGUAAACUGCUUUUAUGCGGGGAUAAAGUGAGGGACGUGUCCUUCAUUGCAGGUACCGCAUGAAUAAGGACCGGCUAAUUCCGUG